UUGUUUUAAGGAUCUUUGGCCUAAUUCAGCUGCCUGCCUGGGUCAAUCUGAGAGCUCUACCAGUUCCUUUUGGACUUCAGGACCAAGAAGGUUUGAUGCUUGUGGACUAUGUCCCAACUUGGCUCAUCAGUCCCAAACAAGAGUGGAGAGCAAAGGCCUUGACAAGGAAGGAGAGCCCAAGGCAAGGGAGUCCCAGUGACAUUGACUAAAAUCCUGGGUUGACCUCUGCCUGAACCAGGAAGCGUUUGCUUGGAUACGAGGUCUCCUAAAGGCCCGUGUGCUGACGACUUGGGCUGCCAUAUAGCAGUGCUCAGAGGUGGAGUUCUGGGAGUGGUCUACCAUGAGAUGAACAGCUUCGCUCUACCACGAGCUCCCCACAGUAACGGUCUGUCUUGUCACACACCCAGAAACAAUGGAGCCGAUCUUCCAUGGACUGAAACUUCUGAACCCAUGGGCCAAGAGACAUGCUUCUGCUUUUGUGUUGAUAUUCUGCCCCCCCCACCUUCUCUCUGUGACUGGUGGUUCAGUGGUUAAGAGCACUGGCUGCUCUUCUAGAGGUUCCAGGUUCUAUUCCUACACAAUCUGUUGUUGCUCCGGUUUCAGGGAUCCACUGUCCACUUCUGGACUCUGCAGGCACCAGUCAUCCAUGAGUGCAUACAUAUAGGCAAUACCUAUGUACAUAAAAACUUUUUAAUAUUUUUUUCUGAGACAUUGUCUGUCUACAUAGCUCUGACUGUCGUGGAACUUACUAUGUGGAACAAGUUGGUCUCAAAUUCACAGAUAUGCAACCCUCCAAAUGUUGUGUGUGCCACUGUAUCUGGCUUUAAUUUUUUUUUAUUUUGAUGUGCAUUGGUGUUUUGCCUGCAUGUAUGUUUGUGUGAGGGUAUCAGAUCUUGGAGUUACAGGCAGUGUGAGCUGCCAUGUGAGUGCGGGGAAUUGAACCCCGGUCCUCUGGAAGUGCAGUCAGUCCUCUUAACUGCUGAGCUAUCUUUCCAGCCCCCUAAAUUUUUUUUUUUAAAGAAUGAGGACUGGGGAUGCAGCUUGGAUGGUAAGGUAUAGGGAGAUAUUUGCCUGAGAUCCCAUAACAGUGGCCACGCCUUUUGGGCAUGGUUACAGGUGCAUCGUGACCGGUUUAAGAGGAAGGAUCAGAAAUCCUGGAUUCCCUUAGGGUGGCAGAGAGCAUUGGGGAACAGGGUCUGUCUCCUUGGAGCAGGACCGCCGCUGAAGUUAUUUAUUGUUUUCCGUGUAAGUUAUUUACUAAUAAACUCCCUUCAAUUAUA